AAGAUGUUAGUAAAGCCCUUACACUACCUUGUCAGAGUAGUAACACAAACUAGAUAUUUGUACAUCUUA
rnacentral:tRNA from 1 species